rnacentral:snRNA from 1 species
GGAUGUGAGAGCAUUCUGACUGUAACUGACUUCAGUCACCGGUUGAUUGCCAGGGUUGAUUUGGCUGAUUUGGCUGGCUAGGUGGAUGUCGCCUUUUUCCUUUACCAUCCCAUGUGCAUCCGUCCCAAAGCUGAGUGCUGAUAGAGGAGGACUGUUCUUAAAACAAAUGUAUAGGAGUAGCUCACAACCCUGCUGGAACCUCCAAACUACCAAGUACAGGUCUUGAAUGAGAAGAAGGUAGUGCAUGAGGCCAGGGGAAGCUAUCAAAUAGAAGAAUGUGAAGUCAGACAAGUCAU